rnacentral:lncRNA from 1 species
CUUUCUUAUUUUAGUACCCUAUGGUUUAAAGUGCAUCAAUUUAGUAUUUUAUGGUUUCAUUUUUCUCUUUUCGUCGACUCCUCUGUUAAUAUUUCGUUAAAUUAUAUACAAAAAAAACUUCAGAUAUCCUACCUAGGUUUAUCGAAUAUUUACGUUAGUACCUUAUAGUUUUAACUUCAUCACUGAUUUUUUUUUCUCCGUUAAUAUUUCGUUAAAUUAUAUACAAAAAACUUCAAAUACCCUACCUAGGUUUAUCGAAUAUUCACUUCAGUACCCUUUAGUUUUAACUUUAUCACUGAUUUAAUGAAAAAAAUUAAUGAAAUAAAUAAUAAAAAUAAAUAAAUAAAACUAUAUGGUACUGACUUGAUACAUUUUAAAUAAUAAAAUAUUAAAAUAAAAAGGUGU